AUUGAACGCUGGCGGCAGGCCUAACACAUGCAAGUCGAACGGCAGCACAGUAAUAGCUUGCUCUUACGGGUGGCGAGUGGCGGACGGGUGAGGGAUACAUCGGCAUCUACUUUUUCGUGGGGGAUAACGUAGGGAAACUUACGCUAAUCCCGCAUACGACCUACGGGUGAAAGCAGGGGAUCUUCGGACCUUGCGCGAUUGAAUGAGCCGAUGUCGGAUUAGCUAGUUGGCGGGGUAAAGGCCCACCAAGGCGACGAUCCGUAGCUGGUCUGAGAGGAUGAUCAGCCACACUGGAACUGAGACACGGUCCAGACUCCUACGGGAAGCAGCAGUGGGGAAUAUUGGACAAUGGGCGCAAGCCUGAUCCAGCCAUACCGCGUGGGUGAAGAAGGCCUUCGGGUUGUAAAGCCCUUUUGUUGGGGAAGAAAAGCAGCAGGUUAAUACCCCGCGGUUCUGACGGUACCCAAAGAAUAAGCACCGGCUAACUUCGUG
rnacentral:rRNA from 1 species